GACGAACGCUGGCGGCGUGCUUAACACAUGCAAGUCGAACGGAAAGGCCCUGCUUUUGUGGGGUGCUCGAGUGGCGAACGUGUGUGUAACACGUGAGUAUCCUGCCCUUUACUUUGUGAUAACUUCAGGCAACUGGUGCUAAUACCUGCUAGGAGCUCCUGCUGCAUGGUGGUGUUUGGAAAGUUUCGUCUGUUGGGGAUGGACUCGCGGCUUAUUAGCUUGUUGGUGGGGUAGUGGCUUACCAAGGCUUUGAAGGGUAGCCGGCCUGAGAGGGUGACCGGCCACAAUGGGACUGAGAUACGGCCCAGACGCGUACGGGAGGCAGCAGUGGGGAAUAUGACACAAUGGGGGGAAGCCUGAUGCAGAAACGCAGCGAGCGGGAUGAAGGCUUUCGGGUUGUAAACCGCUGUCGCCUGUGACGAAGCGUGAGUGACGGUAAUGGGUAAAGAAGCACCGGCUAACUACGUG
rnacentral:rRNA from 1 species